UGGAAAAUCCAGCUGAUUAGAAUUUGUUGGAAAGGUGUUUCACAGGCGCUACAUUGGAGAUGACGUGGCGCCGUGUAAACACCUACCCGACAGGUCAGCAAUGACGUCAUUACCUUUG
rnacentral:precursor_RNA from 10 species